rnacentral:rRNA from 1 species
AGCGAACGCUGGCGGCAGGCCUAACACAUGCAAGUCGAACGAACUCUUCGGAGUUAGUGGCGGACGGGUGAGUAACACGUGGGAACGUGCCUUUGGGUUCGGAAUAACUCAGGGAAACUUGUGCUAAUACCGAAUGUGCCCUUCGGGGGAAAGAUUUAUCGCCAUUAGAGCGGCCCGCGUCUGAUUAGCUAGUUGGUGAGGUAACGGCUCACCAAGGCGACGAUCAGUAGCUGGUCUGAGAGGAUGACCAGCCACACUGGGACUGAGACACGGCCCAGACUCCUACGGGAGGCAGCAGUGGGGAAUCUUGCGCAAUGGGCGGAAGCCUGACGCAGCCAUGCCGCGUGAAUGAUGAAGGUCUUAGGAUUGUAAAAUUCUUUCACCGAGGACGAUAAUGACGGUACCCGGAGAAGAAGCCCCGGCUAACUUCGUG